ensembl:snRNA U6 U6 spliceosomal RNA
GUGCCUGCUCGGACAGCACAUAUACUAAAAUUUGAACGAUACAGAGAUUAGCAUGACCCCUGCACUAGGAUGACGCACAAAUUCGUGAAGUGUUCCAUAUUUUC